rnacentral:rRNA from 1 species
ACGCUCGACACCUACGGGGGCAGCAGUCGGGAAUAUUGCGCAAUGGAGGAAACUCUGACGCAGUGAUGCCGCGUGCAGGAAGAAGGUUUUCGGAUUGUAAACUGCUUUAGACAGGGAAGAAAGAAAUGACAGUACCUGUAGAAUAAGCUCCGGCUAACUACGUGCCANNCGCGUAUAUNAGNGGCGNGNGAGNG